ACAUGAUAUAAUUGGUCUGGUACAUCCACUCCAAACAGAGGUUUCCAAAUCAUUCACGAAUCAGUGUGAAACUACUACGGUACACAGGCACCCCCCAUUCAGACCGCGUCUAAAUAGCACAUAUAUACAUGAGUUCUAUGAACACUUUCGCUCAAAACGCACCACUCAGAUUUAGACCGGGGCUUUCGUACGGGGGGGCAAGGUAAUGCACACAACAUCUGAGAAGUAUCAUGACAAUCGUUUCUCUUAUUAUGACGGUGACAAAUGACAAUGGUGACGAACCUAGAAUGUGAUGAGGCUCGCGAUCACGAGAAAGCCAACCAGGAUGAGGAGCGCCUUGAGGUACACGUCCGCCUGCUGCUGCUGCUGCCCGGGCGGCGCGUGCCGGGGGGCAGCGGCGUGGGCGUGCCCGCCAUGGAAAGCAUGCCCAUGGCCAUGGCCAUGCCCGUAGCCAUAGGGAAACCCGGCAGGCUGCCCGUACGCGGUCGCGUCCGGGAAUCCAUGCACCUGGAAGCUCAGCAGCGGGAACAGGCCGCCAAACGCGGCCGAGAAGGUGUAGUUUCCCCACCGCGCGUUGGCCAAAGGGACGCCCCCUCCCCCCAUGAACCAGGGGUUAGGGUUUGCGUUGGGGAAGUGGUUGUUGGGGUCGGCCUGCGGGGCGGUGGCGGGCCGCUGCCCGGUCGGCCGGUUGGGGAUCUCGGCCCCGGCCGGCACCCCCUUGGACCUGGGGUCGACGCGGUCCUUGCCGCGGCCGUAGAGCGGGACGAGCUUGUCCUCCUCGACGACGGCCUUGCAGACGGGGCACUCGGGCGAGUGCGAGUGGAUGUGCAGCCACUUGUAGAGGCAGGGCCAGCAGAAGAGGUGGCCGCAGAGCGUGACGAUGGGCUCCUGCGGCAGCUCAAAGCAUAUGUUGCACUCGAAGCUGCCCCCGCCGUCGCCGGCCACGCUGCUGCUGCCGCUCGUGGACUCCCCCACAUUUGCCGCCAUGCUGGCUGGGCGUCGCUCGCUCGGAACCAACCACCCACGACGAGCUGCAAAUGAUCAAAUGGUUAUGGUCAUCAGCAACUCAACAACACAUAGCAACCAACAGCUUGUAAAAUUGCAGCGUAUCUCGACAGCCAGACGUGCGGUAACAGCAAGACUAGCCAGAUGUGCAGCUAUCUUCUCAAGGAAGGAUCGAAUCCCUGAAAAAUCUAUCUACAGGUACAGGAUUAGAGUAAGAUUUCUCGUGUCAGCAAUAAGCAAGCUCAAACAAGGAAUGAAUGAGAGCGACUAGCAGGAGGAGCAACGCGAAUCUAGUAGAAGCAUUGGAAAAAACAAAAACAAAAUCAUCCCCAACCCUCCCUACGAGAUCUGAAGCUCGGCCACACACCAGCAAAGCAACGCACAAGACGGGACCGCAGCACCGACAGCGCAGCGACUCCGACGACGACAGCGGCAGCAGCAGCAGUGCUAGACUAAAUCGUGAGCAGCAGCCGCACAACGGGCGAGCCCGUGCGACGCCUGGGGCGAGAAGCUCCUCUCCCCGCAAGCCCGCACACCGAGCGAGCCCGGCGGCCGAAUCCGGCGCGGACGGGCCCCGCGCAAGCAGACGCCCGGCGAGCCGCGACGACCGAGGCCGAGGGAUCGGGCGGAUCCGAAUCGGGAGGCGCGCCGAGCCGGCCGCGAUCUGGCCGGCCCAAGCGCAGAGACGAGGGCCGCGAGGAGGCGCGGGGGGCGGAUCAGGGGGCAGGGUGGGACUGCUUACCGGCGGCCGGACGGACGGGGCGAGGAGACGGCGCGGCCGGCGCCUCCCUCCGGCGGUGCGAGGGGGAGGGGAGAGGACGAGAAGCUUCGGGGAAGAAGAUGACAAGUACUAGAGUAUGAAUAGGCGACUCUCUCUCCCUCUCUCUAUCUCGCUGGAUGCGAGUUAUUAAUUGCUUCUGACUUUGGUCAAAGCCGAGUUAAUUACUGCUAACGGCGACCCGGGACGGCCCAGUCGACAGGCAUCGGCCUGGCGGCCUACAACAACAAAAAACAAGCGACGGUGGGCUUCCUAGGCCCAGCCCGUGCGACGACGCGAACGAGCAACCGGCCACGUGAGAAAUCAUCCCUCAAAACACCCCUAAAAAAAAAGUGAGAAAUCAAAAAUUGUCUGAAAAAACGUGAGAGAUCAUCAAAACCCCACGCAAAAAAGGUGAAUAAUCAGAAUUCCUGUAGAGAAAAACCAGGCGGCAAGCAUGCGUGUGCGCUCGAAAUGUGUUCUGCGUGGAAACAGAGCUACGCUACGUGCCACGGACAGUACAGUACACAGAAGAACAGUGGCCGUCUGAUCUGCUCCUCCUAACCUAACCUCGCAUGCACACCUUUUUUUUUUAAAUAAACAUAACACUUUAUUAAUUGGAAAUAAGAGUUACAUCAUCAAUAAAAAAAGAUACAAUAUCAUCCAUAGGCGCCUCACACCAAUCCCUAGUCUCUGAAAAAUUCGCUAGUCUAGCAAGUUCAUGAGCAACCUUAUUUGCUUCCCUAUUACAAUGUUCAAACCUAGUAACAGAAAAAUCACAUGCCAUAAAAUAGCAAUCGUCGAACACUGCCGCUGCCGCACCCGCUGAUUGUCCUCCAUUUUUCAUUGUGUCAAUCACUUUCAUAUUAUCAGAGUUGACAAUAAGGCGAUUGCAACCAGCUUUCUGUGCAAGGAUUAAGCCAAACCUUAUAGUUAGUGCUUCUACCGUUAAUACAUCAACACACCAAUCAAUCCUCCAAUUUCCGCCAACAAUAAACCUUCCUUUGUCAUCUCUGAGGACAGCCCCUGCCGUACUCCUAAACAGAUCGUGAUCAAAAAAAGCAUCAACAUUUAGUUUCACAAAACCCAUAGGAGGUCUCCUCCAUCCCCUUAUUUUACUGGUUGUUUUAGUGGAGUGUGCAUUAACGUAGUUCGCCGUUAUGGCACGAGCCCCCAUCGAAGUUUGAUGUGCAUCUUGAGACUUUCCUUCAUGAACCAGUUUACGUCUAUUCCACCAUAGAUACCAAGUUGUUAUAGCAAUCAAUUCGCGUACGUUCUUGAGUCCCAAUACAAAUAAUUCUUGGUCUGGCAUAAGUAGUAACAUUUCAAGAACUGUCUCUCCCGCCCGAUCGACACUACAAGCUUUAUUGAUGACCUCAUACAAUCCUAACUUGUUCCAAACCUCUUUCGCCUUCUGACACAUAAACAAGACGUGUUUUGUGUCUUCUGGCCCAUUUGAGCAUGAUGGGCAGAUGGGUGAAAUUUUCAUGUGUCUAUUAGCGAGCGUAACACGGCACGGGAGAGUUCCAUGCAAUGUACGCCAGAUGAAAAAAUUUACCUUUGCCGGACAAGAUAGUUUCCAGAUCUUACCCCAGAUAGGAUUAGCAUUGGUUCUACCCAUACCAUUUGUAUAUUGCAAUUUCCUCCCAUGUUGUUGGUUCCAUUCCUCCGAAUAAGCUGAUCGAACAGUGAACAAGCCAUUUUUUGUAUAACUCCAAGCAAUGAAGUCCGACAUAUCAUGCAUCGGAAGGGGAAUCACGAGCACCCUUUGAGCGUCAAUUGGCCACAAAGUUUGUCUCACCAAGUCUUUAUCCCAACAAUUCAUGAUUGGGUCAAUAAGGUCAGACACCUUUGACAAAAGAUGCCUUCUUCUAGGAGUAAUAAUUUUCCUACUUGCACAAUUCGGGAUCCAUGCAUCUUCCCAAAUAUCAAUCUUUUGUCCAUUUCCAACUCGCCAGAUGUAACCAUUCCUUAGGGGAUUAACUCCUGCCAUAAUGCUUUGACAGGUAAAAGAUGAACCCUUCUUUAGAUUUGCAUUCAUUAAAUCACCAUCUGGGAAGUAUUUUGCUCUCAAGAUUGUAGCACAUAACGAUUCUCGAUUAUCAAGCAAACGCCACGCCUGUUUGGAUAGCAAAGCCAGAUUGAAACAAUGUAUAUCUCGGAAGCCCAUGCAUCCUUGGUCUUUUGGGACACACAUCUUCCACCACGCCAUCCAAUGCAUCCUCUUCUGAUUGUCCUCGUCACCCCACCAAAAUUGCGACAUCGCGUCAAUGAUUCCUUUGCAAAAAAAUUUAAGAAUUUUAAAGAUGGACAUAGCAUAAGUUGGGAUAGCUUGUACAACAGCUUUGAGGAGAACUUCCUUUCCUCCAGCAGAUAACAAUUUUUCUUUCCAUCCACUAAUUUUUGUAAUAAUGCGAUCAAUUAGGAAUUGGAAACACUCACUUUUGUCCAUACCCACAUUUGCAAGCAAUCCCAAAUAUUUGUCAUUGAGAGCUUCAGUCAUAAUAUCUCGAAUUGUGCAAAUUUGCGCCUUGUCUUCCACUUUUGUGUUGGGACUAAAGAAAAUACUCGACUUUUCAACGCUCACCUUUUGCCCCGAGGCAGCACAAUAAGAAUCCAAAAUUGAUUUCAACGCCUCCGCAUUCAUAGCACUUGCUUUCAUAAGGAUCAAAGAAUCAUCGGCGAAUAGAAGGUUUGAGAUCGAUGGGGCAUCUCUACAAACCUCAACUCCAGAGAUAUUGUUGGGGAACAUAGUAAUUUCAAAAAAAAUCCUACGCACACGCAAGAUCAUGGUGAUGGCAUAGCAACGAGAGGGGAGAGUAUUGUCCAGGUACCCUCGUAGACCGUAAGCGGAAGCGUUAUGACAACGCGGUUGAUGUAGUCGUACGUCUUCACGAUCCGACCGAUCCAAGUACCGAACGUAUGGCACCUCCGAGUUCAGCACACGUUCAGCUCGAUGACGAUCCCCGGACUUCGAUCCAGCAAAGUGUCGGGGAUGAGUUCUGUUGGCACAACGGUGUGGUGACGAUGAUGAUGUUCUACCAGCGCAGGGCUUCGCCUAAACUCCGCGACGAUAUGACCGAGGUGGAAUAUGAUGGAGGGGGGCACCGCACAUGGCUAAGGAACGAUCCGUAGAUCAACUUGUGUGUUCUAGGGUGCCCCCAUGCCCCCGUAUAUAAAGGAGCCAAGGGGGAGGGGGCGGCCGGCCAAGGAGGGCGCGCCAAGGGGGAGUCCUACUCCCACCGGGAGUAGGACUCCCUUCUUUCCUAGUUGGAGUAGGAGAAGGGGGAAGGAGGAGGAAGAGGGGAAGGAAAGGGGGGGCGCCGCCCCCCUCUCCUUGUCCUAUUCGGACUAGAGAGGGGAGGGGGCGCAGCCCACCUCUUGCCUCCUCUCCUCUUCUCCCUUAGGGCCCAUGAAGGCCCAAUAACCCCCGGGAGGGUUCCGGUAACCCCCCGGUACUCCGGUAAAAUGCCGAUUUCACCCGGAACACUUCCGAUGUCCAAACAUAGGCUUCCAAUAUAUCAAUCUUUAUGUCUUGACCAUUUCGAGACUCCUCGUCAUGUCCGUAAUCACAUAAGGGACUCCGAACAAACUUCGGUACAUCAAAACUUAUAAACUCAUAAUAAAACUGUCAUCGUAACGUUAAGCGUGCGGACCAUACGGGUUCGAGAACUAUGUAGACAUGACCUAGAACUAUUCUUGGUCAAUAACCAAUAGCGGGACCUGGAUGCCCAUAUUGGCUCCUACAUAUUCUACGAAGAUCUUUAUCGGUCAAACCGCAUAACAACAUACGUUGUUCCCUUUGUCAUCGGUAUGUUACUUGCCCGAGACUCGAUCGUCGGUAUCCAAUACCUAGUUUAAUCUCGUUACCGGCAAGUCUCUUUACUCGUUACGUAAUGCAUCAUUUCGUAACUAACUCAUUAGCUACAUUGCUUGCAAGGCUUAUAGUGAUGUGCAUUACCGAGAGGGCCCAGAGAUACCUCUCCGACAAUCAGAGUGACAAAACCUAAUCUCGAAAUACGCCAACCCAACAUGUACCUUUGGAGACACCUGUAGUACUCCUUUAUAAUCACCCAAUUACGUUGUGACGUUUGGUAGCACCCAAAGUGUUCCUCCGGUAAACGGGAGUUGCAUAAUCUCAUAGUUACAGGAACAUGUAUAAGUCAUGAAGAAAGCAAUAGCAAUGUACUAAACGAUCAAGUGCUAAGCUAACGGAAUGGGUCAAGUCAAUCACAUCAUUCUUCUAAUGACGUGAUCCCAUUAAUCAAAUGACAACACAUCUCUAUGGUUAGGAAACAUAACCAUCUUUGAUUAAUGAGCUAGUCAAGUAGAGGCAUACUAGUGACACUAUGUUUGUCUGUAUUCACACAUGUAUUAUGUUUCCGGUUGAAUAAUAAACAUUUAUCAUGAAAUAAGGAAAUAAAUAAUAACUUUAUUAUUGCCUCUAGGGCAUAUUUCCUUCAGUCUCCCACUUGCACUAGAGUCAAUAAUCUAGUUCACAUCGCCAUGUGAUUUAACAUCAAUAUUCAUAUCUGUAUAUGAUUAACACCCAUAGUUCACGUCGUCAUGUGACCAACACCCAAAGGGUUUACUAGAGUCAAUAAUCUAGUUCACAUCGCUUAUGUGAUUAACACCCAAAGAGUACUAAGGUGUGAUCAUGUUUUUCUCGUGAGAGAAGCUUAGUCAACAGGUCUGUCACAUUCCAUAUGUAUUUUGCAAAUAUUCUAUGUCUACAAUGCUCUGCACGGAGCUACUCUAGCUAAUUGCUCCCACUUUCAAUAUGUAUCCAGAUUGAGACUUAGAGUCAUCUGGAUCGGUGUAAAAGCUUGCACCGAUGUAACUCUUUACUACGGGCUCUUUUUUCACCUCCAUAAUCGAGAAAUAUUUCCUUAGUCCUCACUAAGGAUAUUCUUGACCAAUGUCCAGUGAUCUACUCUUAGAUCACUAUUGUACUCCCUUGUCAAAUACAGAGCAAGGUAUACACUAGGUCUGGCACAUAGCAUAGCAUACUUUAUAGAACCUAUGACUGAGGCAUAGGGAAUGACUUUUCAUUUUCUUUCUAUUUUCUGCCAUGGUCUGGUUUUGAGUCUUACUCAACAUCACACCUUUGUAUCACACGCAAGAACUCUUUCUUUGACUGUUCCAUUUUGAACUACUUCAAAAUCUUGUCAAGGUAUGUACUCAUUGAAAAAUCUUAUCAAGCGUUUCGAUCUAUCAAUAUAGAUCUUGAUGCUUAAUGUGUAAGCAGCUUCACCGAGGUCUUUCUUUGAAAAACUCUUAUUCAAGUUGCUAUCCAGAAUUUCUAUAUCAUUUCCAAUCAACAAUAUGUCAUCCACAUAUAAUAUUAGAAAUGCUACAGAGCUCCCACUCACUUUCUUGUAAAUACAGGCCUUUCCAAAAGUCUUUAUAAAACCAUAUGCUUUGAUUAACUCAUCAAAGUGUAUAUUCCAACUCCGAGAUGCUUGCACCAGUCCAUUGAUGGAUCGCUGGAGCUUGCAUAUUUUGUUAACACCUUUCGGAUCGACAAAACCUUCUGGUUGUAUCAUAUACAACUCUCCUUUAAGAAAACCAUUAAGGAAUGCAGUUUUGACAUCCAUUUGCCAGAUUUCAUAAAAUGUGGCAAUUGCUAACAUGAUUCAGACAGACUUAAGCAUCGAUACGAGUGAGAAAAUCUAAUCGUAUUCAACAUUUUGAACUUGUCGAAAACCUUUCACAACAAGUCGAGCUUAGUAGAUAGUAACACUACUAUCAGUGUCCGUCUUCCUCUUGAAGAUCCAUUUAUUUACAUGGCUUGCUGAUCAUCGAGCAAGUCAAUCAAAGUCGAUACUUUGUUCUCAUACAUGGAUCAUAUCUCAGAUUUUAUGGCCUCAAGCCAUUUCACGGAAUCUGGGCUCAUCAUUGCUUCCUCAUAGUUUGUAGGUUCAUCAUGGUCUAGUAACAUGACUUCCAGAACAUGAUUACCGUACCACUCUGGUGCGGACCAUACUCUGGAAGACCUACGAGGUUCUGUAGUAACAUGAUCUGAAGUUUCAUGAUCAUCAUCAUUAGCUUCCUCACUAAUUGGUGUAGGAAUCACUGGAACUGAUUUCAGUGAUGAACUAUUUUCCAAUUCGGGAGAAGGUACAGUUACCUCAUCAAGUUCUACUUUCCUCCCACUCACUUCUUUCGAGAGAAACUCCUUCUCUAGAAAGGAUCCAUUUUUAGCAACGAAUAUCUUGCCUUCGGAUCUGUGAUAGAAGGUGUAUCCAACAGUUUCCUUUGGGUAUUCUAUGAAGACGCACUUCUCUGAUUUGGGUUCGAGCUUAUCAGGUUGAAAAACUGUUUCAUAUAAGCAUCGCAACUCCAAACUUUAAGAAACGACAACUUUGGUUUCUUGCCAAACCAUAGUUCAUAUGUUGUCGUCUCAACGGAUUUAGAUGGUGCCCUUUUAACGUGAAUGCAGCUGUCUCUAAUGCAUAACCCCAAAACAAUAGUGGUAAAUCAGUAAGAGACAUCAUAGAUCGCACCAUAUCCAAUAAAGUGCGGUUACGACGUUCGGACACACCAUAACGUUGUGGUGUUCCAGGUAGCGUGAGCUGUGAAACUAUUCCACAUUGUUUUAAUUGAAGACCAAACUCGUAACUCAAAUAUUUGUCUCCGCGAUCAGAUCGCGGAAACUUUAUUUUCUUGUUACGAUGAUUUUUCCACUUCACUUGAAAUUCUUUGAACCUUUCAACUAUUUCAGACUUAUGUUUCAUCAAGUAGAUAUACCCAUAUCUGCUCAAAUCAUCUUGUGAAGGUCAGAAAAUAACUAUACUUGCCACGAGCAUCAACACUCAUUGGAUUGCAUACAUCGGUAUGUAUUAUUUCCAAUAAGUCAGUAGCUUGUUCCAUUGUUCCAGAGAACGGAGUUUUAGUCAUCUUGCCCAAAAGGCACGGUUCGCAAGCAUCAAAUGAUUCAUAACCAAGUGAUUCCGAAAAUCCAUCUUUAUGGAGUUUCUUCAUGCGCUUUACACUGAUAUGACCCAAACGGCAGUGCCACAAAUAAGUUGCACUAUCAUUAUUAACUUUGCAUCUUUUGGCAUCAAUAUUAUGAAUAUGUGUAUCACUACGAUCAAGAUCCAACAAACUAUUUUCAUUGGGUGUAUAACCAUCGAAGGUCUUAUUCAUGUAAACAGAAUAACAAUUAUUCUUUAACUUCAAAUGAAUAAUUGUAUCGCAAUAAACAUGAUCAAAUCAUAUUCAUGCUCAACGCAAACGCUAAAUAACAUUUAUUUAGGUUUAACACUAAUCCCGAAAGUAUAGGGAGUGUGUGAUGAUGAUCAUAUCAAUCUUGGAACUAUUUCCAACACUCAUCGUCACUUCCCCUCAACUAGUCUCUGUUUAUUCUGUAACUCCUGUUUCGAGUUACUAAUUGUUGGAAAUAUGCCCUAGAGGCAAUAAUAAAUAAGUUAUUAUUAUAUUUCCUUGUUCAUGAUAAUCGUUUAUUAUCCAUGCUAUAAUUGUAUUGAUAGGAAACUCAGAUACAUGUGUGGAUACAUAGACAACACCAUGUCCCUAGUAAGCCUCUAAUUGACUAGCUCGUUGAUCAAUAGAUGGUUACGGUUUCCUGACCAUGGACAUUGGAUGUCGUUGAUAACGGGAUCACAUCAUUAGGAGAAUGAUGUGAUGGACAAGACCCAAUCCUAAGCCUAGCACAAAGAUCGUAGUUCGUAUGCUAAAGCUUUUCUAAUGUCAAGUAUCAUUUCCUUAGACCAUGAGAUUGUGCAACUCCCGGAUACUGUAGGAAUGCUUUGGGUGUACCAAACGUCACAACGUAACUGGGUGGCUAUAAAGGUGCACUACAGGUAUCUCCGAAAGUGUCUGUUGGGUUGGCACGAAUCGAGACUGGGAUUUGUCACUCCGUGUAAACGGAGAGGUAUCUCUGGGCCCACUCGGUAGGACAUCAUCAUAAUGUGCACAAUGUGACCAAGGGGUUGAUCACGGGAUGAUGUGUUACGAAACGAGUAAAGAGACUUGCCGGUAACGAGAUUGAACAAGGUAUCGGUAUACCGACGAUCGAAUCUCGGGCAAGUACAAAUACCGCUCGACAAAGGGAAUUGUAUACGGGAUUGAUUGAGUCCUUGACAUCGUGGUUCAUCCGAUGAGAUCAUCGUGGAACAUGUGGGAGCCAACAUGGGUAUCCAGAUCCCGCUGUUGGUUAUUGACCGGAGAACGUCUCGGUCAUGUAUGCAUGGUUCCCGAACCCGUAGGGUCUACACACUUAAGGUUCGAUGACGCUAGGGUUAUAAAGGAAGUUUGUAUGUGGUUACCGAAUGUUGUUCGGAGUCCCGGAUGAGAUCUCAGACGUCACGAGGAGUUCCAAAAUGGUCCGGAGGUAAAGAUUUAUAUAUGGGAAGUCCUAUUUUGGCCACCGGAAAAUGUUCGGGAUUUUUCGGUAUUGUACCGGGAAGGUUCUAGAAGGUUCCAGAGUGGGGCCCACCUGCAUGGGGGACCCACAUGAACGUGGGUAGUGGGGGCAAGGCCCCACACCCCUGGUCAAGGCGCACCAAGAUCCCCCCUUAGAAGGAAUAAGAUCAUAUCCCGAAGGGAUAAGAUCAAGAUCCCUAAAAAGGGGGAAUAACAAUCGGUGUGGAAGGAAAUGAUGGGAUUUCUUUCCUCCCACCUUUGCCAACGCCCCAAUGGACUUGGAGGGCAAGAAACCAGCCCCUCCACCCCUAUAUAUAGUGGGGAGGCGCAUGGGAGCUUCACACAAGUUCUGGCGCAGCCCUCCCCCUCUCCCAAGUACUCCUCCUCUCCCGCGGUGCUUGGCGAAGCCCUGCAGGAUUGCCACGCUCCUCCACCACCACCACGCCGUCGUGCUGCUGCUGGAUGGAGUCUUCCUCAACCUCUCCCUCUCUCCUUGCUGGAUCAAGGCAUGGGAGACGUCACCGGGCUGUACGUGUGUUGAACGCGGAGGUGCCGUCCGUUCGGCACUAGGAUCUCCGGUGAUUUGGAUCACGACGAGUACGACUCCUUCAACCCCGUUCUCUUGAACGCUUUCGCUUAGCGAUCUACAAGGGUAUGUAGAUGCACUCUCCUUCCCCUCGUUGUUGGUUUCUCCAUAGAUAGAUCUUGGUGACACGUAGGAAAAUUUUGAAUUUCUGCUACGUUCCCCAACAGUGGCAUCAUGAGCUAGGUCUAUUGCGUAGAUUCUUUGCACGAGUAGAACACAAAGUAGUUGUGGGCGUUGAUUUUGUUCAAUAUGCUUACCAUUACUAGUGCAAUCUUGUUUCGACGGUAUUGUGGGAUGAAGCGGCCCGGACCGACCUUACACGUACACUUAUGUGAGACAGGUUCCACCGACUGACAUGCACUUGGUGCAUAAGGUGGCUAGCGGGUGCCAGUCUCUCCCACUUUAGUCGAAACGGAUUCGAUGAAAAGGGUCCUUAUGAAGGGUAAAUAGCAAUUGUCAUAUCAUGUUGUGGUUUUGCGUAGGUAAGAAACGUUCUUGCUAGAAACCCAUAGCAGCCACAUAAAACAUGCAAACAACAAUUAGAGGACGUCUAACUUGUUUUUGCAGGGUAUGCUAUGUGAUGCGAUAUGGCCAAGAAGAAUGUGAUGAAUGAUAUGUGAUGUAUGAGAUUGAUCAUGUUCUUGUAAUAGGAAUCACGACUUGCAUGUCGAUGAGUAUGACAACAGGCAGGAGCCAUAGGAGUUGUCUUUAUUUAUUGUAUGACCUGCGUGUCAUUGAACAACGCCAUGUAAUUACUUUACUUUAUUGCUAACCGGUAGCCAUAGUAGUAGAAGUAAUAGUUGGCGAGACAACUUCAUGAAGACACGAUGAUGGAGAUCAUGAUGAUGGAGAUCAUGGUGUCAUGCCGGUGACGAUGAUGAUCAUGGAGCCCCGAAGAUGGAGAUCAAAAGGAGCAAAAUGAUAUUGGCCAUAUCAUGUCACUAUUUGAUUGCAUGUGAUGUUUAUCAUGUUUAUACAUCUUAUUUGCUUAGAACGACGGUAGUAAAUAAGAUGAUCCCUCAUUAAAAUUUCAAGAAAGUGUUCCCCCUAACUGUGCACCAUUGCGAAAGUUCGUCAUUUCUAAGCACCACGUGAUGAUCGGGUGUGAUGGAUUCUUACGUUCACAUACAACGGGUGUAAGACAGAUUUACACACGCGAAACACUUAGGUUGACUUGACGAGCCUAGCAUGUACAGACAUGGCCUCGGAACACAAGAGACCGAAAGGUCGAGCAUGAGUCGUAUAGUAGAUACGAUCAGCAUGAAGAUGUUCACCGAUGAUGACUAGUCCGUCUCACGUGAUGACCGGACACGGCCUAGUUGACUCGGAUCAUGUAAUCACUUAGAUGACUAGAGGGAUGUCUAUCUGAGUGGGAGUUCAUAAGAUGAACUUAAUUACCCUGAACAUAGUCAAAUGAUCUUUGCAAAUUAUGUCGUGAGCUCGCGCUUUAGUUCCACUAUUUAGAUAUGUUCCUCGAGAAAAUAUAGUUGAAAGUUAACAUUAGCGAUUAUGCGGACAGUAGAAAGCUUAUGUCCUUAAUGCACCGCUCAGUGUGCUGAACCCCAAACAUCAUUUGUGGAUGUUGCGAACAUGGGACAUACACGUUUUGAUAACUACGUGAUAGUUCAGUUAAAUGGUUUAGAGUAGAGGCACCAAAGACGUUUUCGAUACAUCGCGGAACAUAUGAGAUGUUUCGAGGGCUGAAAUUGGGAUUUCAGGCUCGUGCCCACGUCAAGAGGUAUGAGACCUCCGACGAUUUUCUUAGCCUGCAAACUAAGGGAGAAAAACUCAAUCGUUGAGCUUGUGCUCAGAUUGUCUGAGUGCAACAAUCACUUGAAUCGAGUGGGAGUUGAUCUUCCAGAGAUAGUGAUGUUUCUCCAAAGUCAUUGCCACCAAGCUGCUAGAGCUUCGUGAUGAACUAUAACAUAUCAGGGAUAGAUAUGAUGAUCCUUGAGGUAUUCGCGAUGUUUGACACCGCGAAAGUAGAAAUCAAGAAGGAGCAUCAAUUGUUGAUGGUUGGUGAAACCACUAGUUUCAAAAAGGGCAAGGGCAAGAAGGGAUACUUCAUGAAACAGCAAAUCAGCUGCUGCUCUAAUGAAGAAACCCAAGGUUCAACCCAAACCCGAGACUAAGUGCUUCUGUAAUAAGGGGAACAGCCACUGGAGCAGAAUUACCCUAGAUACUUGGUAGAUGAGAAGGCUGGCAAGGUCGAUAGAAGUAUAUUGGAUAUACAUUAUGUUAAUGUGUACUUUACUAGUACUCCUAGUAGCACCAGGGUAUUAAGAUACCGGUACGGUUGCUAAAUGCUAGUAACUCGAAAUAAAAGAGCUACGGAAUAAACUGAGACUAGCUAAAGGUGAGCUGACAAUAUGUGCUGGAAGUGUUUCCAAGUUUGAUGUGAUCAAACAUCGCACGCUCCCUCUACCAUCAAGAUUAGUAUUAAACCUGAAUAAUUGUCAUUUGGUGUUUGCGUUGAACAUAGACAUAAUUGGAUUAUGUCUAUCGCAAUACGAUUAUUCAUUUAAGGAGAAUAAUGGUUACUCUAUUUAUUUGAAUAAUACCUUCAAUGGUCUUGCACCUAAAGGAAUGGUUUAUUGAAUCUCGAUCGUAGUGAUACACAUUUUCAUGCCAAAAGAUAUAAGAUAGUAAUGGUAGUACCACUUACUUGUGACACUGCCAUGUAAGUCAUAUUGGUAUAAAACGCAUGAAGAAGCUCCAUGUUGAUGGAUCUUUGAACUCACUCAUUUUUGAAAAGGUUGAGACAUGCGAACCAUGUCUAUUGGUGCAUACGCAUGAAGAAACUCCAUGCAGAUGGAUCGUUUAGACUCACUUGAUUUUGAAUCACUUGAGAUAUGCAAAUCAUACCACAUGGGCAAGAUGACUGAAAAGCCUCGUUUUCAGUAAGAUGGAACAAGAUAGCAACUUGUUGGAAGUAACACAUUUUGAUGUGUGCAGUCCAAUGAGUGCUGAGGCAUGCAGUGAAUAUCGUUAUGUUCUUACUUCACAGAUGAUUCGAGUAGAUGUUGAGUAUAUUUACUUGAUGAAACACAAGUCUGAAUUAUUGAAUGGUUCAAGUAAUUUCAGAGUGAAGUUUAAGAUCUUCGUGACAAGAGGAUAAAAUGUCUAUGAUAUGAUCAUAGAGAUGAAUAUCUGAGUUACGAGUUUUGGCACACAAUUAAGACAUUGUGGAGAUUGUUUCACAACCAAUACCGCCUGGAACACCAUAGUGUGAUGGUGUGUCCGAACAUCAUAACUGCACCCUAUUGGAUAUGGUGCAUACCAUGAUGUCUAUUAUCAAAUUACCGCUAUCGUUUAUGGGUUAGGCAUUAGAGACAACCACAUUCACUUUAAAUAGGGCACCACGUAAUUCCGUUGAGAUGACACCAUAUGAACUAUGGUUUAGAGAAACCUAAGCUGUCAUUUCUUAAAGGUUUGGGGCUGCGACGCUUAUGUGAAAAAGUUUCAGGUUGAUAAACUCGAACCCAAAGCGGAUAAAAUGCAUCUUCAUAGGACACCCAAAACAGUUGGGUAUACCUCCUAAUUCAGAUCCGAAAGCAAUAGGGAUUGUUUCUUGAAUCGGGUCCUUUCUCGAGGAAAAGUUUGUCUCAAAAAGUUGAGUGGGAGGAUGGUGGAGACUUGAUAUGGUUACUGAACCGUCACUACAACUAGUGUGUAGCAGGGCACAGGAAGUUGUUCAUGUGGCACCUACACCAAUUGAAGUAGAAGCUUAUGAUAUUGAUCAUGAAACUUCGGAUCAAGUCACUACCAUGCCUCGUAGGGUGACAAGGAUGCAUACUACUUCAGAGUGGUACAGUAAUCCUGUCUUGAAGGUCAUGUUGCUAGACAACAAUGAACCUACGAGCUAUGGAGAAGCGAUGGUGGCCCUUAUUCCGACAAAUGGUUUGAAGCCAUGAAAUCUGAGAUAGGAUCCAUGUAUCAGAACAAAGCAUGGACUUUGGUGGACUUGCCCGAUGAUCGGCAAGCCAUUGAGAUAAAUGGAUCUUUAAGAAGAAGACGGACGUGGACGGUAAUGUCACCGUCUAUGAAGCUCGACUUAUGGUGAAGAGUUCUUCACAAGUUCAAGGAGUUGACUACGAUGAGAUUUUCUCAUCCGUAGCGAUGCUUAAGUCCGUCGGAAUCAUGUUAGCACAAGCUGCGUUUAUGAAAUCUGGCAGAUGGAUGUCAAAACGAGUUUCCUUACCAGUUUUCGUAAGGAAAGGUUGUAUGCGAUACAAUCAGAAAGUUUUUGUCGAUCCUAAGGAUGCUAAAAGGUAUGCUAGCUCCAGUGAUCCUUCCAUGGACUGGAGUAAGCAUCUCGGAGUUGGAAUGUGCGCUUUGAUGAGAUGAUCAAAGAUUUUGGGUUUAUACAAAGUUUAUGAGAAACUUGUAUUUCCAAAGAAGUGAGUGGGAGCACUAUAGAAUUUCUGAUGAGUAUAUGUUGUUGACAUAUUGAUGAUCAGAAAUGAUGUAGAAUUUCUAGAAAGCAUAUAGGGUUGUUUAAAAAGUGUUUUUCAAGGGAAAACCUGGAUUAAGCUACUUGAACAUUGAGCAUCAAGAUCUAUGAGGAUGGAUCAAAACGCUUAAUGGUACUUUCAAAAUGAGCACAUACCUUGACAUGAUCUUGAAGGUGUUCAAGAUGGAUCAGUCAAAGAAGGAGUUCUUGGCUGAGUUGUAAGGUAUGAAGUUAAGACUUAAAGAUCGACCACGGUAGAAAAGAGAGAAAGGACGAAGGUCAUCCCCUAUGCUUUAGACGUAGGCUCUAUAGUAUGCUAUGCUGAGUACCGCACCUGAUGUGUGCCUUGCCACAUGUCUGGCAAGAGGGUACAAAGGUGAUCAAGGAGUGGAUCACUACAUAGCGGUCAAAGUUAUCCUUAGAGGAAUAAGGAUAUGUUUCUCGAUUAUGGAGGUGUUAAAGAGUUCAGCGUAAAGGGUUACGUCGAUGCAAGCUUUAACACCUAUCUGAAUGACUCUGAGUAGCAAACUGGAUACGUAUAGUGGAACAACCAUUUGGAAUAGCUCCAAGUGGAGCGUAGAAGCAGCAUUUACAAUAUGACAUAGAGAAUUGCGAAGUACAUACGGAUCUGAAUGUUGCAGACCCGUUGACUAAAACCUCUCUCACAAGCAAAACAUGAUCAAACCCCAGAACUCAUUGAGUCUUAAUCACAUGAUGAUGUGAACUAGUUUAAUGACACUAGUAAACUCUUUGGAUGUUGGUCACAUGGCGAUGUGACCUGUGAGUGUUAAUCACAUGGCGAUGUGAACUAGAUUAUUGACUCUAGUGCAAGUGGGAGACUGUUGGAAAUAUGCCCUAGAGGCAAUAAUAAAUAAGUUAUUAUUAUAUUUCCUUGUUCAUGAUAAUCAUUUAUUAUCCAUGCUAUAAUUGUAUUGAUAGGAAACUCAGAUACAUGUGUGGAUACAUAGACAACACCAUGUCCCUAGUAAGCCUCUAAUUGACUAGCUUGUUGAUCAAUAGAUGGUUAUGGUUUCCUGACCAUGGACAUUGGAUGACGUUGAUAACGGGAUCACAUCAUUAGGAGAAUGAUGUGAUGGACAAGACCCAAUCCUAAGCCUAGCACAAAGAUCGUAGUUCGUAUGCUAAAGCUUUUCUAAUGUCAAGUAUCAUUUCCUUAGACCAUGAGAUUGUGCAACUCCCAGAUACCGUAGGAAUGCUUUGGGUGUACCAAACGUCACAACGUAACUGGGUGGCUACAAAGGUGCACUACAGGUAUCUCCGAAAGUGUCUGUUGGGUUGGCACGAAUCGAGACUGGGGUUUGUCACUCCAUGUAAACGGAGAGGUAUCUCUGGGCCCACUCGGUAGGACAUCAUCAUAAUGUGCACAAUGUGACCAAGGGGUUUAUCACGGGAUGAUGUGUUACGGAACGAGUAAAGAGACUUGCCAGUAACGAGAUUGAACAAGGUAUCGGUAUACCGACGAUCGAAUCUCGGGCAAGUAUAAAUAUCGCUGGACAAAGGGAAUUGUAUACGGGAUUGAUUGAGUCCUUGACAUCGUGGUUCAUCCGAUGAGAUCAUCGUGGAACAUGUGGGAGCCAACAUGGGUAUCCAGAUCCCGCUGUUGGUUAUUGACCGGAGAACGUCUCGGUCAUGUCUGCAUGGUUCCCGAACCCGUAGGGUCUACACACUUAAGGUUCGAUGACGCUAGGGUUAUAAAGGAAGUUUGUAUGUGGUUACCGAAUUUUGUUCGGAGUCCCGGAUGAGAUCCCGGACAUCACGAGGAGUUCCGGAAUGGUCCGGAGGUAAAGAUUUAUAUAUGGAAAGUCCUAUUUUGGCCACCGGAAAAUGUUCGAGAUUUUUCGGUAUUGUACCGGGAAGGUUCUAGAAGGUUCCAGAGUGGGGCCCACCUGCAUGGGGGACCCACAUGAACGUGGGUAGUGGGGGCAAGGCCCCACACCCCUGGUCAAGGCGCACCAAGAUCCCCCCUUAGAAGGAAUAAGAUCAUAUCCCGAAGGGAUAAGAUCAAGAUCCCUAAAAAGGGGGGAUAACAAUCGGUGUGGAAGGAAAUGAUGGGAUUUCUUUCCUCCCACCUUCGCCAACGCCCCAAUGGACUUGGAGGGCAAGAAACCAGCCCCUCCACCCCUAUAUAUAGUGGGGAGGCGCAUGGGAGCUUCACACAAGUUCUGGCGCAGCCCUCCCCCUCUCCCAAGUACUCCUCCUCUCCCGCGGUGCUUGGCGAAGCCCUGCAGGAUUGCCACGCUCCUCCACCACCACCACGCCGUCGUGCUGCUGCUGGAUGGAGUCUUCCUCAACCUCUCCCUCUCUCCUUGCUGGAUCAAGGCAUGGGAGACGUCACCGGGCUGUACGUGUGUUGAACGCGGAGGUGCCGUCCGUUCGGCACUAGGAUCUCCGGUGAUUUGGAUCACGACGAGUACGACUCCUUCAACCCCGUUCUCUUGAACGCUUCCGCUUAGCGAUCUACAAGGGUAUGUAGAUGCACUCUCCUAACCCUCGUUGUUGGUUUCUUCAUAGAUAGAUCUUGAUGACACGUAGGAAAAUUUUGAAUUUCUGCUACGUUCCCCAACACUAAUCUUAGUAACCCAACAAGUAUCAAAUACUCAGGGGCUACUAUAAACACUAGUAAGGCACAUCAAUAACCUGUAUAUCAAAUAUACCCUUGUUCACUUUGCCAUCCUUCUUAUCCACCAUAUAUUCAGGGCGUUUCUGCUUCCAGUGACCAUUUCCUUUGCAGUGUAAGCACUCAGUUUCAGGCUUUGGUCCAGCUUUGGUCUUCUUCGCGGGAGUGACAACUUGUUUGCCAUUCUACUUGAAGUUCCCCUUUCUUUUCCUUUGCCCUUUUCUUGAAACUAGUGGUCUUGGCAAUCAUCAACACUUGAUGCUCUUUCUUGAUUUCUACCUUCGUCGUUUUCAGCAUCACGAAGAGCUCGGGAAUCGUUUUUGUCAUCCCUUGCAUUAUAGUUCAUCACGAAGUUCUACUAACUUGGUGGUGGUGACUAGAGAAUUAUGUCAAUCACUAUCUUAUCUGGAAGAUUAACUCCCACUUGAUUCAAGCGAUUGUAGUACUCAAACAAUUUGAGCACAUGCUCACUAGUUGAGCGAUUCUCCUCCAUCUUUUAGCUAUAGAACUUGUUGGAGACUUCAUAUCUCUCAACUCGGGUAUUUGCUUGAAAUAUUAACUUCAAUUCCUGGAACAUCUCAUAUGGUCCAUGACGUUCAAAACGUCUUUGAAGUCCCGAUUCUAAGCCGUUAAGCAUGAUGCACUAAACUAUCAAGUAGUCAUCAUAUUGAGCUAGCCAAACGUUCAUAACGUCUGCAUCUGCUCCUGCAAUAGGUUUGUCACCUAGCGGUGCAUCAAGGACAUAAUUCUUCUGCGCAGCAAUGAGGAUAAACCUCAGAUCACGGAUCCAAUCCGCAUCAUUGCUACUAACAUCUUUCAACACAAUUUUCUCUAGGAACAUAUUAAAAUAAACAUAUGAAAGCAACAACACAAGCUAUUGAUCUACAACAUAAUUUGCAAAAUACUACCAGGACUAAGUUCAUGAUAAAUUUAAGUUCAAUUAAUCAUAUUACUUAAGAACUCCCACUUAGACAGACAUCUCUCUAGUCAUCUAAGUGAUUACGUGAUCCAAAUCAACUAAACCAUGUCCGAUCAUCACGUGAGAUGGAGUAGUUUCAAUGGUGAACAUCACUAUGUUGAUCAUAUCUACUAUAUGAUUCAUGUUCGACCUUUCGGUCUCCGUGUUCCGAGGCCAUAUCUGUAUAUGCUAGGCUCAUCAAGUUUAACCUGAGUAUUCCGCGUGUCCAACUGUUUUGCACCCGUUGUAUUUGAACGUAGAGCAUAUCACACCCGAUCAUCACGUGGUGUCGCAGCACGAAGAACUUUCACAACGGUGCAUACUCAGGGAGAACACUUCUUGAUAAUUAGUGAGAGAUCAUCUUAUAAUGCUACCAUCAAACAAAACAGAAUAAGAUGUAUAACAGAUAAACAUCAUAUGCAAUCAAAAUAUGUGACAUGAUAUGGCCAUGAUCAUCUUGCGCCUUUGAUCUCCAUCUCCAAAGUACUGUCAUGAUCUCUAUCGUUACCGGCACGACACCAUGAUCUUCAUCAUCUUGAUCUAUAUCAAUGUGUCGUCACAUGGUCAUUUCGCCAACUGUUGCUAUUGCAUAGCGAUAAAGUAAAGCAAUUAUUUGGCACUUGCAUCUUUAUGCAACAAAGAGACAACCAUAGGGCUUCUGCCAGUUGCCGAUAACUUCAACAAAACAUGAUCAUCUCAUACAAUAAAAUAUAGCAUCACGUCUUGACCACAUCACAUCACAACAUGCCCUACAAAAACAAGUUAGACGUCCUCUACUUUGUUGUUGUAAAUUUUACGUGGCUGCUACGGGCUUAGCAAGAACCGUUCUUACCUACGCAUUAAAACCACAACGAUAGUUCGUCAAGUUAGUGAUGUUUUAACCUUCGCAAGGACCGGGCAUAGCCACACUCGGUUCAACUAAAGUUGGAGAAACAGACACCCGCUAGUCACCUGUGUGCAAAGCACGGCGGUAAAACCAAUCUCGCGUAAGCGUACGCGUAAUGUCGGUCCGGGCCGCUUCAUCCAACAAUUCCGCUGAACCAAAGUAUGACAUGCUGGUAAGCAGUAUGACUUGUAUCACCCACAACUCACUUAUGUUCUACUCGUGCAUAUGACAUCUACGCAUAAAACCUAGCUCUGAUACCACUGUUGGGGAACGUAGUAAUUUCAAAAAAAUUCCUACGCACACGCAAGAUCAUGGUGAUGGCAUAGCAACGAGAGGGGAGAGUAUUAUCCAUGUACCCUCGUAGACCGUAAGCGGAAGCUUAUGACAACGCGGUUGAUGUAGUCAUACGUCUUCACGAUCCGACCGAUCCAAGUACCGAACGUACGGCACCUCCGAGUUCAGCACACGUUCAGCUCGAUGACGAUCCCCGGACUCCGAUCCAGCAAAGUGUCGGGGAUGAGUUCUGUCAGCACGACGGCGUGGUGACGAUGAUGAUGUUCUAUCGGCGCAGGGCUUCGCCUAAACUCCGCGACGAUAUGACCGAGGUGGAAUAUGAUGGAGGGGGCACCGCACACGGCUAAGGAACGAUCCGUAGAUCAACUUGUGUGUUCUAGGGUGCCCCCCUGCCCCCGUAUAUAAAGGAGCCAAGGGGGAGGGGGCGGCCGGCCAGGAGGGCGCGCCAAGGGGGAGUCCUACUCCCACCGGGAGUAGGACUCCCUUCUUUCCUAGUUGGAGUAGGAGAAGGGGGAAGGAGGAGGAAGAGGGGAAGGGAAGGGGGGCGCCACCCCCCUCUCCUUGUCCUAUUCGGACUAGAGAGGGGAGGGGGCGCAGCCCACCUCUUGCCUCCUCUCCUCUUCUCCCUUAGGGCCCAUGAAGGCCCAAUAACCCCCGGGAGGGUUCCGGUAACCCCCCGGUACUCCGGUAAAAUGCCGAUUUCACCCAGAACACUUCCGAUGUCCAAACAUAGGCUUCCAAUAUAUCAAUCUUUAUGUCUCGACCAUUUCGAGACUCCUCGUCAUGUCCGUGAUCAUAUCCGGGACUCCGAACAAACUUCGGUACAUCAAAACUUAUAAACUCAUAAUAAAACUGUCAUCGUAACGUUAAGCGUGCAGACCCUACGGGUUCGAGAACUAUGUAGACAUGACCUAGAACUAUUCUUGGUCAAUAACCAAUAGCGGGAACUGGAUGCCCAUAUUGGCUCCUACAUAUUCUACGAAGAUCUUUAUCGGUCAAACCGCAUAACAACAUACGUUGUUCCCUUUGUCAUCGGUAUGUUACUUGCCCGAGAUUCGAUCGUCGGUAUCCAAUACCUAGUUUAAUCUCGUUACCGGCAAGUCUCUUUACUCGUUACAUAAUGCAUCAUUCCGUAACUAACUCAUUAGCUACAUUUCUUGCAAGGCUUAUAGUGAUGUGCAUUACCGAGAGGGCCCAGAGAUACCUCUCCGACAAUCGGAGUGACAAAACCUAAUCUCGAAAUAUGCCAACCCAACAUGUACCUUUGGAGACACCUGUAGUACUCCUUUAUAAUCACCUAGUUACGUUGUGACGUUUGGUAGCACCCAAAGUGUUCCUCCGAUAAACGGGAGUUGCAUAAUCUCAUAGUUACACGAACAUGUAUAAGUCAUGAAGAAAGCAAUAGCAAUGUACUAAACGAUCAAGUGCUAAGCUAACUGAAUGGGUCAAGUCAAUCACAUCAUUCUUCUAAUGACGUGAUCCCAUUAAUCAAAUGACAACACAUGUCUAUGGUUAGGAAACAUAACCAUCUUUGAUUAAUGAGCUAGUCAAGUAGAGGCAUACUAGUGACACUAUGUUUGUCUAUGUAUUCACACAUGUAUUAUGUUUCCAGUUAAUACAAUUCUAGCAUGAAUAAUAAACAUUUAUCAUGAAAUAAGGAAAUAAAUAAUAACUUUAUUAUUGCCUCUAGGGCAUAUUUCCUUCAAAUAUUACCAUUCUCCUCCGCAUUAGCUAGAAGAGCCGUCAGCCCCACUGUACAUAGCAAGAAUAAAUAUGGAGAGAGAGGAUCUCCCUGCCUCAAACCUCUAGUAGGUUUAAAACUCUCAGUCUCUUUAGUAUUAAAGUGAACCCGGUACUCCACCGAAGAUACACACUGCAUAAUUAAAUUUACCCAGUUCUCUUGGAAUCCCAAUUUCAACAUAAUUUCCUUCAGAAUAGAACACUCUACCCGGUCGUACGCUUUGUGCAUAUCCAAUUUGAUGGCACACAUACCCUCUUUACCAUUCCUUUUUUUCUUUAUUGUAUGGAAACACUCGUACGCCACUAAAAUGUUAUCUGUAAUCAUUCUUCCGGGUACAAAUGCACUCUGAGUCGUGCUGAUAAUAUCUGGAAGAAUUAUCUUCAAACGAGCCGCAAUCAUUUUUGAAAUAACCUUAUACACCACAUUGCACAAACUGAUUGGUCUAAACUGAUUUAUCUUUUCUGGAGAACUAACCUUUGGGAUCAUUACAAUUGCUGUAUCAUUCCACCCAUCAGGUUUAGUACAAGUAUUCACCGCCUGGAGUACCUCCUCGGUCAGAUCAUCCCCCAACAUAGACCAAAAUCUUUUAUAAGGUUAUUUCAAAAAUAGCGUGUAACCCAUCCGGACCCGGCGCUUUUAAAUCUCCAAUAUCAAAUAGAGCCUUCCAAACCUCCUCAGUUGUAUAAGGGGCUAGGAGAGAAUUAUUCAUUUCUUCUGUCACUUUUCUUCUCACAAGAGAUAGAACCUCCGGGUUCGGUUGAUCAACUUCUGAGGUAAAGAGAUUUGAAAAAUACCCCAUAAUAUGGUUCUUCAUCUCCGUAUCUUGCACCCAAUUACCGUUUUCAUCAAGCAAUUUUUUAAUUUGAUUUCUUUUUUUUCUAGUCAUUGCUGCAUUAUGGAAAAAGGAAGUGUUGCGAUCACCAUAUAACAACCAGUUUGCGCGGCCCCUUUGUAACCAGUAGAUUCUUGCUCUAAGAGAUUUUCAAUAAGGACAAGAAUCUCUUUUUGUCUCGCUUGUGACUCCGCAUUCAUGGGACCUCUUCGUUGUUUUUCUAAUUCUUUUUUUAGUUUAUUAAUUCUUUUUUUCGGUCCUCUAAGAAUAUCACGGUCCCAAGUGUGCAAAUCCGCAUUCACCGCCCGUGUACGCUCGGCAAGAGAAGGCCCAAUACCUCGCAUCUUUGCUUUUUCCCAUGCUGUACGUACAAUUUCUUCAACUGUCUCUUCUUUGAGCCAUCGAGCUUCAAACUGUUUCAGUCGGCUCCUUGGUUGAUUAAACAUACUACCAUCAAAAUAUUCCGUAUCCAGGAUUAGAGGACGAUGAUCAGAAUGUACAUGUUCUUCAUUUAUAACUACGGGCCGAGGAAAUUUGUUCGCCCAUUCCACAUUACAAACCGCACGGUCAAGCCUCUCCCUAAUAUCGCCCCUCCUCCAAGUGAAAAGGUCUCCAAUACAUCCCAUGUCUUCCAAACCGCACUCUCCCAAACAAUUACGAAAUUCUCAUCACUGCAUUAGGUCUCGCAUUGCCUCCCUCUUUUUCCGAAGAAAGUAGAAUUUCAUUGAAGUCUCCCAAAAUCACCCAAGGGUGGUCACCUUUAUUGUGCAAAUUACGGAUAUCAUCCAAAGACAAGUUAGGUUCACACCAAUUCGGAUGACCAUAAAAACCGGUAAAACGCCAUUGUACAAUAUUGUCAUUCAUAAACAAAACAUCAAUAAAAUUGGCCGACUCAUAGUUUAAAACAACUUUAUUCAUCUUGUGAUAAAACAUAACUAGGCCACCGGAGGCCCGCCCAUCGCUCUCCACUACAAACAUCGAAUCAAAAUUUAAAACACGACAUAUCUCAUCGGCUUUACAUUUAUUCAAAUGAGACUCUGAAAGAAAAAUCAAGUCCGCCGUUUAGUUCGCCCUUGUAGAUCCAAGAGCUCGCGAACUGCCAUGGGGGAGAGCAUACCAUGGCAGUUCCACCCUAUGACUUUCAUUUGGCCCGGCGGACCUCCUCCUCGGAGGCCGCCAAUGCGCCAUCAUCUCCAACCGAUUCCCUCCUUUGCUGCACACAUGCCUCUUCUUUUCCCUCUAUCUCCUUUGCUACGUGUGUGGUGACCCCAUCUCCAUCUGUCACUGUUUCCACCCUACUCGUACACACUCGCUUAGAAGAAGCACACCUAGUAGAGUAGUAGGUUAGUUAAUGGUUAGUCCCCAUCACUAAUCAGUUUGCCAAGGAAGCAUCCUUGCAAUCUCACCGCAAACCCUGCCAACCCAAUUAUCGUUCAUCCCCGAACCACCACUUCCCCUUCAUCCCAACGCAAGUCCAUAAUAAUUCCAAGAAGAAAAUAAAUGGGUGAUGUGACUGAUGCGGAAAGGAAAUUCAAAUAUAUAUACGCGCUCAGCAGAGAGCAGUGCACACAAAAUUCAAACAUAUAUUAUUAAACCACUGUCUCCGAUGCAAAAUACUUUGAUCCUUUCUUUCUUUCUUUCAGGGGAACAAAGAAAGAAACAAACAUGGAGCCUCAUUCGACGUCGAACCCCUUCUCCUGGAGCUCCUGCACCACCUCAUUGCGCAUCCGGAGCCACAGCUUGCGCUCCUGGUCAAACUUCUUCGACUGCGGCUGCUUCUGCAUGUUGUCCGAGUCCAUGUUGGCGUCCGCGAACCCCUUGGGCCCGAUCGUCGUGCCCAGGGCGCCCCCGCUCUAUUUGAACUCCUCCACCGCAUCCUCGUCACCCGGGUACACGAACUCCCUACGCUCGUACAGAUGCGUCAGUGGGCCGGAGUGGGCUAACUAAGGAGGCCUCGUCUCGCUACUUAAGCGAGGAAGAAGAGAAGGGCGGACAUCCAGUGGAUCAAGGCAACGGCGGCACGACUCCUUUCUCCUUUCCCCUUCCACCUACUAAGAACCCUAGCCUUCCUGAUUCAUGUACUUCGUCUGUAAUCGCCACUAAACAUUCAUCUAUGAAUGAGACGGGGGCCUUUACUACUACUGCAUUGCUGGCUGGAAACUGCUUACCGACGGCCGGCCGGACGGGGCGAGGAGACGGCGAGGCGCCUCCCUCCAGCGGUGCGAGAGGGAGGAGAGGACGAGAAGUUUCGGGGAAGAAGAAGAGGACAAGGAGAGUAUGAAUAGACGACUAGUUGCUCCCUCUCCUCUCGCUGCCUGCCUGCGAGUUAUUAAUUCUUUCUGACUUUGGUCAAGCCGAGUUAAUUAGUCCUAACGGCGACCGGGACGGCCCAGUCGUGCAGCCGGGCUUUUUGGGCCUUCUCCGGUGACCUUUCGAUGAUGCUAACAAAAGCAAUUGACCAUGUUGCCUAAAAAAAGCAAUUAACCAUGUGAAUGAAAAAUGCCCCUCCAUUCCUAAAUAAGACCUUCUAGAGAUUCUAAUAUGAACUACACGCAGAGCAAAAUGAUUGAAUCUACACUCCAAAAUAUGUCUUUGUACAUCCGUAUGUAGUCUGCAUUGAAAUCUCUAAAAGACUUGUAUUUACAAACGGAGGGGGUACAAAAUUCUACAAAAAGUGGGGGGAAAUCUACUACUACUCUCCGAUCCAAAAUUCAAUGUACUAAAGCAGCGUCAAUUAAUUUGGAUCGGAGAAAGUUUCUACUAUCUCUGAAACCUAGUAUAAUACUUUUUUUUAACACUGAGAUAGUGUCCAAAAUCAUCUUAUAUCAAGUUACGGAGGGAGUAUAUACUACUUAUAAAAGCAUGAGUUUGAUGAAUCCAAAUGAUCUGAGCCAUCCAACCACCUAUAUCCAAUGUCUCAUGCUGCUCUAAUGGUGUAUCCGUCACAUCAUCAAUAAAUUGGAAACAUGUUAACUGCAUAAACCAUAAUUUAGAAAAGGAGCAUUAAUUGCAUCAUUAAACACAAUAAACAUCGGAAUCUUUCCUAUUAAUCUUGAAAAUAAAAUUACUGUCAAACUGGACAUGCACGUACACGGUUACCAGUAAAUAGUAAUUCAAAAUAAGGAAACAAAGAUGGCAAGCAUGCAUGUGCGCUCGACACGCACGAAAUGUGUUUUGUGUGGAAACAAAGAUGCACUAGUAUCAUAUGCAUGAUACUAGUAUGUGAUACUUCUCAUUACAACCAGCCUAAUGGCCACUCCCUGUCAUCACUAAUAAAUCUGCCAACUCAACAGUCCUCGCUUUCUCAGCGGAAAUCCGCCAGCUAAACUAUCUUUGAUCCCCCAACCACUUCCCCAUUGUCAAUUCCGACGUAACUGAAUGAAAAGGAUUGGCGUGGAAGAAAAUAAUGCUCGCGUCGUCGUGCCGUGCUUGGUCCAAAUCUCAUUUGUCAACCGAUAUUCUGCGUGCCACUUGCGGCACUUGCCCUUAAAAAUUUGACGUAUUUUUGUUAUUAUGUUUAGGGUGGUUUGUGUUUCUGGUGAACUUUAUUUCAGAUUAGACGCAUCUAUGACACUUUGAUAAUGUACGAAGUACUUAUAUUUAAAUAUGAAGUGGGACACUAGACAGAUGCAAGCAUUUGUGAGCUCAGCAGACAGUUUAAAGAAAAAAAAAGGAUGAAUGCAUUCAUCUUUAUUAUGCUUCCACUGCGCCUCAUGACAACGACAUUCCACAUAUGCUUAGAGAAUCUCAUAUCUGUUUUAAUCUGAUGGCACGCUGCUGCCUAUGCUUUAAUCACCAGGACCCUGUCCCUAAUACUCCAGCUGUCUUGAUUUAUCGGCAAAGUACAAAUUAAACUAUUAAAUCGGCGUCUCAAUAUAUAUGAUUAAUUGCUUCAUCAUGGAAAACAACUUAUUUAAUUCCAAACAAAGACAGGGGAAAGGAAUACAAGCCUGGAUGCAACCGGAAUUACUUAAUCUCCGCCGAGAAAAAGGGCAUACACUGAACUUGUAGGCAUCUAACUUUAUCCCAGGGAAUGUUUCUUCUACAUUUAUCAAUGCAAAACACUUAAACGAGCCGAUGUCUCCCCGCAUUUCUUUCAUGGGAAUAAAACUGGCCUUCAUUCGACGUCGAAUCCCUUCUCCUGGAGCUCCUGCACCACCUCGUUGCCCAUCCAGAACCACAGCUUGCGCGCCUCCUGGUCGAAUUUCUUCGACUGCAGCUGCUUCUGCAUGUUGUCUGAGUCCAUGUUGGCGUCCGCAAACCCCUUGGGAGAGGAAGGUUUCACCAAUCCCUGUCGAUAAAUCGACAAUUCCCAAUGCAACAUGUUCAUGUGGCACAUUGGACGAGAUUUCAAUAGUAGGAGAAGUGUUAUUUUUAGAAGUUUCUUAUGUCUCAGUAGCACAUAUAUCCGGCUAUUUUGUCAGACACUGACAUAUCGAAAACGACAAUAGGAAGAUGCACGUCGCCCCUGCAAAAGACCAUUGAUGCAAGGAGAAAGAUAUGAACGACGAUGAGGAUGUGUUGAGCAAGGCAAUGAAACAUGUGGAUGUGUGAAAUUUGGAUGGCUCGACGCAGGGGAGUGAUGACCCACAAGUAUAGGCGAUAUCGUAGUCCUUUCGAUAAGUAAGAGUGUCAAAUCCAACAAGAAACGGAAGAAAAUGACAAGCGAUUUACAGCAAGGUGUUGUCUGAAGCACUGAAAUUAUCGGUAACAGAUAGUUUGGUAGCAAGGUAAUUCGUAACAUGAAACAAGUAGCAAAAGUAAUAAUAGGUGCAGCAAGAUAGCCUAAUCCUUCUUAUGGCAAAGGACAGGUCGGAACGUUCUCUUAUAGUAAGCAGAGCGUUCUUGAGGACACAUGGAUCCAAAUCAGCCCCUUACGGACUAGCGCAUAAACUAGGAUUUAAACUUUUGUCACUCUAGCAACCCUUCAUCUAAUUAAUUACUACUCCACAAUGCCUUCCCUUAGGCCCAAAGAUGGUGAAGUGUCAUGUAGUCGACGUUCAUAUGACACCACUAAGAGAAGCAACAACAUACAUAUCAUCAAAAUAUCAAACGAAUACUAAAUUCACAUAAUUACCCACAAACCAUAUUCAUGUUCAAAAUCAGAGAGGUGUUGAAUAGCAUUAAGGAUAUGAACAUAUAAUCUUCCAUCAAAUAUAUCAACUAGUAUCAACUAUAAGAUGUAAUCAACAUUACUAGCAACCCAUAGGUACCAAUCUGAGGUUUUGAGACAAAGAUUGAAUACAAAAGAUGAACUAGGGUUUGAGAUGAGAUGGUGCUGGUGAAGAUGUUGAUGAAGAUUCGUCCUCCCACGAUGAGAGGAUCAUUGGUGACGUUGAUGGCCCCCUCCCGAAGGGAAGUUUCCCCGGCGGAAUCGCUCUACCGGAGAGCAAAAGUGCUCCUGUCCAGAUUCCACCUCGAGACGGCGGCGCUUCGUCCCGGAAUUUCUCUCUUGAUUUUUUUUUCUAGGACAAAUGGCUUCAUAUAGGAGAAGAUGGGCCUCGGAGGCCAGCCAGGGGCCCCACAAGCCACAUGGGUGCGGCCAGGGGGUGGUCGCGCCCAUGUGCCUCGUGGGCACCUGGUGGGUCCCCUCUGGUAUCAAAAUCGUCUUAAUCCGAGGUCAUAUAAGAGGCAUCUGGAAGUUCUAAAGUACUGAAAGACUGUUUCUCUCAAAAACAGAACAUGACGGUAGCUCUCAAAAAUUGUGCAUCUUCCAUCCUUUUUUAGCCGUAAAUACUGAUGCCAUCAGAAUAAGCCAAUCCCUAGCUACCAUCGAGGGGGUGCAGCCGCACUCCAAACCCCAAAACCCACAGAACCCAUCUCUCGACGGGAGCACGCCGUGCUCGGAGGAAAACAGGGAAUUGGCUAAUUCGGACAAUGAUGAUGGGGAUGGGCGUGCUCAGAGGAAAGCAUGGGAUUAGCCGAUUCAGCCGAUGAUGAUGUGGACAGGGAGAAGGAAACAAAAACGAGAAAUCAUGAUCUUCCCCAUUUGUUCUAUUCCCAAUCAACAAAUCUGCCAUGACUUCACAGCUCAUUGUCUUGUCAAUCCCCUUGGGGAGCCAAACAAUUUUGCUUAUGUAUACUAAAAAGAUUUUCCAUUUAAUCUCUAAGGUUUUAUUAGAGCAAACAAAUAUAUUAUGUUGUUUCAUAUUUUCACAUGUGAAUGGAUUCGAUAUGAGUUAUUUGAUCCAACUUUCUAAGAUUUCUUUAAGAAACACCCAUGCAAAUUACCCCCAGCAAUAUAUAGAGGAAAAAUCAGUUUACACUAGAGUUAGCUACCAUCAAUGUAUCGGUGAUAUAUUUUGCCCACCUCUCAGCCUCAGGUGUUCAAGUUACGGACAAAUUGACAGAAUCACAACAAAGUUCGACGUACAAGUAAACUUGUAAUAGAAACAAUUCAGUACUCAAAAUAUUUGUUAUUGAUAAGCAAAGCCUCAUACAAAAUUGACCACUUGAUCCUAUACAAAUUUCAUACAUGCAUUGACAAAUUGUAACUCGCGGCAUCUAAUUAAAGCGCGGCAAUCACAUUGAAUUUCAAACAUCCUACGAAAGCAAAUCGAUCUUUGAUUUACCGACAUUCUACAAACAAAAAAUAAAUAAAUUGUCGAUAUCCUAUAAGUAGAUUUUCGUUUGACCUUUAGGGUUUUACUAGAGCAAACAAAAAUAUUAAAGUUUGGAAUGUUCACAUGUGAAUGGGAUUCAAGACAUUUAUUUGCUCCAACUUUCAAAGAUUACUUAUUGGCCAUAGCAGAAAAACAUUAACAUACUAUAAAUUGAAUACCCCCAAUGUGACACUGAAAUAUUGGCCCACCUCUUAGCCUCAGAUGUUGUUCAAAUUAAGUGCAACAAACAAGUGAACUUGUAACUGGAAAAAAUCAGUGCUCAAAAUGUUUGUCAGUAAAGAAAACCUCGUACAAAAUUCAGCACUUGAUCCUUCACAGAUUUCAUACACGCGUCCACAAAUUGUAACUGGCAGCAUCAAAAAGUGUGGCAAUCACAUUGAAUUUUCAAACAUCCUACAAAAGCAAAUGGAUCUUCGAUUUACCGACAUUCUACAAACGAAAAAAAUAAAGAAAGAAAUACUAUAGUUAAUAUCCCCAGGGUCCUCAACUUGUAUCGCACAAACAGAACGUUCUCAAGUCCUUGUGGGUUUUGGUUGUGGUAUCGUGCUGCACUGCACUGCACUGCACUGCUGUAGUUAUCGCCUACCACACCGACACAAAGGAAUAACGCUAGUUUACAACACCAAUAUGUACCAACCGUGAAUCACUUCAUCAUGGCAUGUACAACCUAUAAAUAGGUAAAUGAAACAUUAGAAAAAGUAUUCACUAUGCACGAGAAGAAAGAACAUGCACUAGACUGAAGAAUGCAAGCAUUCGACACAAAAAUAUGACCUGCUGAAUUUGUGUAUGCAUCAUGCACCAACAAAAUAAAAAAUGUUCCUACAAUAAAAGUAAUAGAGCAGAUUCAACAAAAUAAAAACGUUCCAUACUUGGUUAAUUUUGUGUACAAUGGAAGUAUAUAGGGAGUUAGACAGUAGAGGAAAGAAAUGACUGCUUAUAAUAUAUAACAACAAUAAAAAUGCGAGGUUGUCAUAUACUCACACCUUGUAUAUAUCAUACUGCCGAGAGACUGCCGAUCUUUCCCAUCUCAUAGGUAUCAGCGUAGUAGUACAGCUUGAUCUUAUUUGACAAAGACAAUCCAGAAGCCAGAGGAAGAUUCCGCAAGCUUAAGCCAUCAAUCUCAGCAAUAUCAUCAACAAAGGCAGUGACAUCUCCAAGUAAUCUAAAGAUAACACAACGGGCAUCUUGCUGCAAAUCCGAAAAAUCAAAAUACAGUGGUGUAUUUGCUUUAACUUCCGGCAGACGGUAUUCCUCUACAACCAGCUUGCCAGACUCCUGCAGAAAAAACAUAAGUAUUGAAUGCACACAACAUACAAAAUUGGCAAAGAGAAAACUAUAUAUCUUAUCUAGAGAGUUCAGCCACAGGCUUCUCAAACCCUCAAGGAACAAUUUCAUGCCGCAAAAACUGCUUACUUUUAGGAACAAACUUGAAAAGAGCAGCAGCACAUAGACGAAUGGACAACUACGAUAUUAUGUUUCCCAGUCAAACCAAAAUAUAUCUAUAUCUACACCUCUAUAUAGCAUACGAAAAACUUUGUAUAUCGGCAGUUGGAUGAAGCCGAUCCGAUGGUACAGAGGUGGCAAACCCGACUUGUGCAGGCCAUUGGAUUUUCUCUUCACUACAUCCGAUUCUACCAUGUGUAGUGUCCAUAAGGUUCUAUGAUUGGGCUUAGAUGUUAUGCACAAACCUCAGAGAACACACUUCUACAUUGUUCUAGACUCCCAGCUUUUUUCGAACAGAAUUUUUACUUUGUGUUCAAGGCUAUGGAUGUACCUUCAUAAACCUCAUUUACUUUGCAGAUGCAGCACUAGAUGUUCUCAUUAUUUUCUAAUAAAAAUUGCAGUACAAGAGACACCUCCUGGGUAAUGUGCUUGAUGUAUUUUACCUGAGUUUUGUGUUUUGAUUGAGUGGACUGGGAGAAUUAAACCUGCAUCUUAUACUUCAUGCAUGUGCCUCAAAAUUUUCAAUCUUUGGUCAUACUUUGAUUAUCUGAGCUCUCACGUGCAAUGCCCAUAUAACUUACUAUUAUGAUAUUAUGUUCAAUCAGGGUAUAGCUAUAUCAGGGUUCCAAGAAACAUGAGGUUAUUGGCUGAGAAACUGGAACUGGCCAAGCUCCAGUUGCUAGUGUUACCCUUCUUUGGAUUGCAGGAAUGAAAAACGCAGGACGGCAGGAGUUUGGGGCAGGAAUCCAAGUGCAAAGGAUUGCAAAACACGGGAAAAUUAGAUGAUAGUCGCUUGGACAGAACACAGGUAAAUGACCUCGAUCCUAGGCAACCUAGUGUGUAUAAAAGAGGUUGGAGUGGUAUUAAAGUUCCCGUGCAAUUAAGGCAUGGGAAACAAAUCCAUUGGAAUUUGGUAGCAUCAUUACAUUGAUCCCAAAGACAUUUGUAUGAAAGACUCCUAUGAAUUGCAGUGCUAUGAAAAUUCUACAAUCCAAAAUGGCCCUACUUAAAUCUCAAAUUCAAUUUUUAACAACAUCAAAAUUUGACUUCCUUAACCUUUUCACCCCAAAAAAAGUUUCCAAGAACGAUGAGAAUGCUGUAAAGACAGAAUAGGAAGUGAUAAAUUACACAAGCAUGAAAGUUCCCAUGGUUCAAAAACAAAAAUAUAAAGAGAGCAAAAGAACCAGAUAAGUGUCAAUUUUAGUCGCUAAAUCAAGUGAGCUUGACCACAUAGCCAGUGCCUUAUUACCUUAACAACUGUAACUUGUAUAUGAAGAAUUGCAGGAUUUAAGUGUCUAUCUUCCAUACGUAUCAAUGAACACUCCUUCAUAUCUAACUCUGAUGGCAGAGGUGAAUGGGUUACACGAGGUCUUAUAACACCAAAGGAAUCAAGGCGAAAUCCAGCUAUUCCAGGCGAAUUAGGCAAGAGAUAUUGCUCAAGAACAAGAUCGUGGUCUCUCAACCUCUCAGCCUCAACCGGAAUCUGAAAAAUAGGAGGGGAAAAUCUUAGCCAUAGUUCGAAAUAGAGCUGAAAAGUGCUCAGUAAAAAGACAGGGUUUACCCUAAAUCUGCCAAACGAUGGUGAUCCAUCUACGUAACUUCUCAUCCUCAUUAUUGCCACAGAUGUGUCAGGACCCAUUUCCUUGGGCAAAGAGCUACCGAAAACAACAAUCCUUUUUGCAUGGAUAAAUGAGUUAUGUGAAUUGUUUGCCUUAGAAUCAAUAAAUGAGCUUUCAUCCAAUGAUAAAAGAUCACUAAAGUCUUCAUUAAACUUGGUUGAGCUAGAACCAAUUUGGGGAAGUGUCAUUUUUAUUGAAAUUAUGCGACAACGGAUAGGAUUUGGGAAGUGUAGUUUAAAGUGUCUUGGUGCCUCAUCCAAGCUACCCGAAUUUUCUGGUCCAUAAAGCUGUGGAGAUGACACUAUCAUACUUUGCACGUCCCACUUUCCUACGAAUGUCCGGUCGUCUCGCUGUAUUUUAUUACUAGCCCAUAUCUCCACCUGCACAGGCAGCACAAAUAUCAGCAUAUGAGGUCAAUAUUGCGCUAUAUGAAACAAGGGAAAUGAAAUUAGCCAGUUGGUUAGUUCAAAUACUCUUGUUUACAUAGGUAGCUAACUCUGCCACAUAUGAAAAAGAUGUCUACAGCACUAGGGCACUUUGUUAAUUUCAGACCAGGAUAUCGUCAACAAACUAGAUAAUUUGCAUCAGUGUUAAUUCUACAAAAAAACAUGUCAUUGUCAUAAAAUUAUGGUGGUGUCCACACAGCCACGAAAACAAAUUUGCAGAGAUCGCGACUGUUGUUACAAAGAACUGAUAGUAAGAGCAUAAGAGCAAAUUAUGGUGCUGUCAAACGUUGAAGUGCUUAAAGAGCAAUUAUGAAGUACGCACGGAACAAACUCAACAACCAAAAUACCAAGCUACAAAGAACUGACAGUAAAAUUAGCAAUUUACUGCAAAUGAAGAGUUUUUAUACUUUGUUUAGAAGUAUAGAAGCAAGAAACAAGAAGCAAUAAUCAGUUCAAUAACAGCUCUCUACUAUCAAGGCACACAGGUAUGUCAAAGGGUCAAGUGAUGCAGACAUCUCCAAGCUUAAAUGAUGUAAAGUACUUCAAGUACAUCCCAUAAAAAAUCAACUAUUAGUUGCAAUGCCCAAACUGAGCACUUCAGCUACGAAAAUAGAAUUUGUGCAUCCACUCUGCAACAUUGGGAUUCUUUUUCCAAUUUGCGUGUUUCUCCUUUGCCUAUUUCUUGGAUUCAUAGUGCAUGAAAUAACUAAGCUAAGCGUGAAGUAUCUUAAGGCAACUGAUAUAUAUGUUUUGGUAUAAUGAAAUUCAGGAGAGGAAGAGAAUACUAUUGCAUUAUUUCUCUUCCAUCAACAUGGAGCUCGCUCAAGAAUAAAGCUGGAAAAUGUUUUCCUUCUCUUGCUCUGAAAGGUAAUGCAUUUGAUUAAGCUAUAUAGGACUUCUUCACUGAAGACAACAAUGAUUUCACUGACUUCGUUUUAAAUGCCCUUUUUGUUAAAUUUACCAAGAAAAUUGUAUAUCUAGGAGUUCCCAUUUAUAACAAUCUCGCUAACAUAAUUUUUUAUACUAAUGUAGACAAACCAUGGAUCCCAGAAAAAAGAACCAAGAUCGGAAGUACAUCUUACAAUUGGGCAAUCAGAUGUUGAGUAACCACAGGAACUGACAAUUAUUGCAACUCCUGAAACAUCUGAUAUACCGCCAAGAACAAUCGGGAACUCCACAGAUGUGUUGCCUUGUGGAGCUUUCCAGUAGGACUUGUGCACUCCACUACCAAGUGGUGCCAGCAAUGAAAACAGUGGAGCAGAGUCAUCAGCAGUUUCUACCUGGAAAAAUAAAACAACGCGGCAGAAUCAAAGCAAUACCCUGUGGCAAAGCAAUACAGAGCAGGGACAAUACGAUACAGCUUCUGACAAAAAGAAAAGAUUUAUUUUGAAAAGAUAAUGUUAGGCUCAAGGGUAGUGCAUUUGAGUGUCUAGUAUCUUUCCACGGUCCAUGUGCAACAGUAUUGCAGAUGCAGCAGAGUCAUAUAGAUACAAAGUGGCAGCACCAGAGCAGACAGUAAAGGGUAGAAGUUAAUAGAUCAAUGUCGAGGAAUACCGUAUGUAAAAAGCUUGCAUGUGGAAAUUCUGCAAGAGAUUCUUCAUCAUCAAGGAGCUGCUUCAAUUGUCUCAGACCAGAUUGAACACUAUGUACUGAAUCCGAUAUUCUAUUGGGCUCAAGUUGGCAGACCUGAUUCACUGCUUUCAGUGCUGCUUUCUCCGCACGACCUUUUCUUCUCAUACUAUGAAGAACCCUGACAUAAUCGACAUACAGUGCUUGUUUGAUCAUCUCAUUGCAGCAUGAUUUGCACACAGAACUAUCUGCGAGGGCUGAAUAGCCACCACCUUGAUUCCCACCAUAUAUCUUCAGAUCUCUGUAAGUGUUGCCAAGCAAAAGGAAGGCCCCUUUCCCAGCACAGCAAGCCUUGCAAGCUGUCCUUUCGCACUGGGAACACUCCACGAAUAGUGAUGUAUUUCCACUAGUAGCUGAAGCUUGUAACGAAGAUACAACACGGACUUCACAUGCCCCACCAGAGCAUGAUUCACCAUUUUCACUGAUAUUCCAAAAGUCUACAGCAUGGCUAUUGACCUUUUCGAGCCCUAUUGAAGCAUUAGCACGAUCCUCGAAGACAGAAUGCCCCAGCAAUGCUAGCUUGUCAGUAAGGCUGGAUAACUUCAACAGGUAAGAGUAAUCAACUGAACGAUUUGGAUCUACCGUGGCAGGAAUUACACCAAUCGAUAACAAUGCCCGGUCCCUUUCGGCAGCAGAAAGAUCAAGAUAAAGACGUUUUAUUUCAAGCUUCAUCCUUUGUUCAAAGUUAAGGCUCUUUCCCUGAAAAGAUGAAUAAGAGUUACAUCUCUAAGAUCCUCAUUUAAACUUAUAUAAACAAAUCUGUUAAUAAAAUAGUUUUUGUUCUUGUUUAGAAAUAGGUAAUCAUUAAUGAGAACAGGAUGAGUAUAUAAAGCAUGGCAACUAAGCAGUGCCAGGUCCAAUAUAUAAUGUACAUAUAAUGAGCUCAUAAUCAUAAGUUGGCAGGGUCUUUUCUCAGUUUCAGUCAAGUCAUUUCUAGAUGCUAUAACCUUCUAAAUAAACCACCAUUGGAUGAGAGUACCAAUUUCAGAUAUUACUUGUAAAUAAAAUUAGCUCAACACCAGUUUAAGGAAAAUCUAUCAAUGAACGAGAGGAUAGGAAAAGAACAACAAAAAUACCUUAUUAUUUUGAGAAAGUGACUCCAAAAACUCGAGAUAAAACUGUGUACUGCCACAAUCUUCAACAUGGUUAUUGACUUCAGCAACAGGCUCUUCUGAUGCAGUGGCAAAAGGGUUGACGUCAAAUUCAUCAUCAAAGAAGUUCGUCUGAUCCUCAUUACCAAAAGAUGUAUUUCCAGUGUUUUUUGAUUGGUUCGGUACGUCGAUAUCACCCGUGAGAAAAUCCACAAAAUUUCCUGAACCACCAGGUUGAACUGAUGAUGAACUUCUAGUAUAACUCCUCUCACUACCGUGAACAGCAUUACCAGGAGAGGAAGAAUCUGCAAUAUUUUUCAAAGCUAGAUCGCGGGGAGUAUAUGCUUUUUCAUGGAGGAGCUCCAAAACUUGAGCAACACCUUUGCUAUUGGUUAACAUAUCCACCCAUGGAAGAGAAACACCAAGUACUUCAAUCUGUUUCAGAAGAUUACUCAUCUAAUAAAAUAAAUAUACAGAGGCGAAAUAGUUCAAUUGUUAAGAGCUGCUUCUUAAUACAUCAACAUCCAGAUGGUUGUCAACUUUUACCUCACCAAGUGUGAUGGCUGUUCUCGCCAUGGGAGAAGGAUGAAAAGAUAAUGUGACAACCCGAUUUAGAAAGUUCACUUCUCCUUCCAGCUCUUCGAAGUCGUAUAACAACGGAAGAUAAGUGCUCUCUUGAACGUCCGGUCGAGCACUAUUGCCUGUAACAGCCAAGUCCUCUGGAUGAAUUCUUCCAGUGAGAGGGAUCAACAAAUUUGUCCCAUUCGAGCACUGGGGUAUGCAAGCGCCCUAAACAAGUGAACUUGCAGUUAGUUACACAUUAGCUGGCUACACAUGAUUUGCAGAAAGAUAAGCAGUAGCAGGGAACAAAUGUAAUCAUUUGAUCAAAAGAUGUAAACUGCAAAGAGCUAGCAUGCAGCAAAUAAGCACCGUAUAGUAUCAGAUCGCCUUACCCUGAUUCAGAUAGUAUAAAACAAAAAACUGCCUUAAAACAAAGAGUUCCUCAAACAUUAAGAAUAGUUCAACGCAUCCACGUGCUUUAAUUGGAAUUCAUACAGAAAUAAAUAUCACACACUGAAAGGUCAGAGUAGCAAGUAAACUGAUGAAAAUAAAAAAGUAUCACGAGCAUUGAGCAUGGGCUCAUGUGCACAGAUAAACCUAUAAUAGGUAGAGAAAUAGAGUAGUUUUUGGAAAUUACAGGAUCUACGCAAUAGAUGUUAGCCAAAAUCAAAGCCAUGCUCAGAUUAGCUGAGCUUGACUUUGCGUUUGUCUGUCCCAAUUGUGCUUCUGAUUGGACCUUGCUACUAUCGGAGAGUCCAAAGUAUGUAAUUAUCAGGCCAUACCAGUUCAUAUGAUGCCUAUAUUUACAUUUCUAAAUUAAAUAAAAUUAAUUUAUGCAACAGAAAAAGGAAAGUAAAUCACAAGAUUAUCUCUUUUACAAGCAGAUUAGGCCUUGGGACUUUUUCUUUGGAAACAGGGAUACUAUUAGUUAUUCAUGAAAGAUCAAAGGAACAUUAGGGAUUACAGGUUCUAGCGCUAUAGCUGCUUUGAACUUCUUGCAACACAACACCAUAGCAGCUCAAGGUCUUGAACCUAGUACAGCCCGCAGCAGUAGCAGUGGCUGGAUGGACCCGCUGCAGGCCGAAUAGAGGGCACUGGCAGCCCAUGUACAAAACCCAGUGCUGUUACCACCCUUCUUUAGUCCUACAUCCCACAGGUACUAAGGCGACAUCCACCUUAAAUGAACUUUCAGAUUGAACUGGCAACAAGUGCACUUGCACCAAAGGAACCAUCGCACAGUUGCCGCAAGCCACCAGAUUCUGAUCAAGUGUUUAUGUUUUGUUUGGAUAUUGGAAGCUAGCGGUUUUCCUCCACACACCCCUCUGACAGCAGAGCCCAACCAAUGCCAAUGAUUUCUAGGGGGCUUAGAGGUUGAAGGGAUUACGGGCAUGUUUGGUUGACGUCCUGGAGCUGAUGCCUGAAAAAGUCGAGUGCCUGGACAGCGCCUGAGAUGUCAGUUGUUUUCUGCCUGGCCAGGCGAGGAUUUUUUGGUUCCUGUCCAGGACUGGGGGUGUUAAAUAUAUUAAAUCAGGUCACUGUUCAUCUGUACUUCCUGCUAUUUUAAAUUGAACAAGAGGAUUGGCAUCCCAGGCACGUCCAGGCGUCUGGUUCCGGUCGCCUGGACCAGGCUAACGACGAGAUCAGGUUUUACGGCCAGGCUAAUGACGCACUCCACUUUUCCAGGCCAGGCUGCUAUCGGAUCUCUAGGACUCGAACCAAACAAAGUACAGGCAGGUCUCAGGCAAGCACCAGGCCAGGCAGCUUUGCACCAGGGUAGCAACCAAACAGGCCCUACGUUUUUAUCUUUAUCUUUAAUAAUGGGACAGCAGUCCGGCUUAAGUAAUGGCAUACAUCUAUCCAUUCAGGCUUUCUUCUGGACAGCCUACCAACAAUUAGUCUCAGCCUGGCCCAUUAAGAUAGGUUAUAUGCUUGUGCAAUGAACCAAGCACCCUCUUAUAUGAACUGGCAGUGGUGCCUGCCAACAUCCUACGGGCUUCUUUCUCACUUACAGGAGGGGGUACCUUGCAGGCAUGGCAGCGCUCUACCACUGUAAUAUAGGCAAUAUAUUGCAUGGCCACAGGCAAAUCGCAAUGUUAACUGACUUCCCUAUAGUUGUGGAACUGGGCUGGAGACUGUAAGACAAUGUCAAAGUUUUGUUUUGCCAAUUCUCUUAUUCAGUCAAUUAAAAUGCUUAAUUUCACCAAAGAUGCAAUGUUUUAUUACCUGAAUUCAUUGACAUUCUUCUUAGGCAUAAUGGGCCAAAUGCACAAAACUUGGAAGUAUUGUGAGUGUUCACAAAGGUAUCUGAAUGUAGAGUGGAGACUAGUGCUUACACUAUGUGCCACAGGACUUCACGUCACCAUUUCGUUAGAUCGUUCAUCGUUUUUCUUAAUUGUGACUCUUAACUGGCUAGUCCACAUAUCGCAUUAUCACAUGCAAAUCACAAUUUUGACUCGGUUCGCAUUAGUUGUGGGACUAAGGUCAAGACUGUAAGACAAUGUCAGAGUCUUGUUACCCCAGUUUUCUAAAUGCAUAAUUUGAUCAACUAAGAUUCUAUGUUUACUUCUUUGAAUUUGAUCCAUUCUUUUAAUGCUAAAUGUGCCAAAGUCACCAAACUAAAAGUACUUUCAUUAUAUCAAGAGUCAAGAAGGAUAUUUGAGUAGAGAUUAAUGCGAUCGCAAUGAUUGCAUAGUUGAUGGCAGUACUAAUUACCAUGCACCACAGGACUCAACAUCACCAUUUUGCUGGAUCUCUUAUAAUCAUUUUAAAGUGUGGUCAGUAACUCGCCAUGGCUUUUAUUUUUCAGAGGACUGUUUUUUUCACUAACAAUACUUGGCUUUGGCUGAGUUACCAUUGUCACAUCCAAGGAUGCCAUCAGAAUCUUUUGAAGUUCUCUGUUCUUGAAUUGUGCAUAUCUGGAUGUAGUCAUGACAUAUUUUCACAUUAUUUUUUGGCGUCAAGGUUCAAGGGUCCCUUUUAGAGGGAUACUCAUGCUGUAAAAGAAGUUAGCACAGCUAAGCCAAAGUUAAGGGGUACACUGUUUGGUUUUGGCUUAAAACCAGGCAUCAUGCCUCAAGUUCAGAUUGUCAGAAUUGCAACAUAGCAUGUUGGCAUAAACCCAAAACUUGAGUGGUGCAUCUGAUGAGGCUCAAUAUUAGCAAGGACUGCAUUUUUUUAUGCGUUCCCAGUUCACCCAGUCUUGACACUGUGUACACAUGUCAGUUCAUCAAGCCUAAUCCUAAAAGUGAGCCAUCUUGCUAUGAAAGCGAAAUUAAUGAGCCUACCUGGCAUAAAAUAAAAUAUUAAGAAUAUAACAGCAAGAUGAAGACAAACCUCAACAACAAGCUUAAGGGCAUCUAUGCUGGAGCCAACUCUGACAUCUACAGUAGCUGGAUAUGAAGAAUCUUCAACCCCAUGGGAAACAGUAAGAAGAAGCUGAGAAACAUGACAAGGUUCUCCAAGGUAUAUAAAAAGCUCAACAUAGUCUGCACCUUGCUGGCAUACCUGCAUGAUCAAGAGACCUUAGCAUGUUAUAGGAAACACUGAGAUGUGACUAAGUACUCCACAUGUUUUUAUAUUACACAAUUCAGAGUUUCAGACUCUUCAAGACAUCAACUAGUCAUAUUCCAUGGGUGUGGUGGGAUUUGUUAGGGACGAAGUAUUUAAUACACCAUAGCUAUCCCCCAAUUCAAAUAAAUCAGGUCACUAUCAGGAUAUAUUACUCAAAAGGAACUAUAUAAAUAAGCAACAUACCCAAACAAUAUCCUUCUUUUUGAAGCUGAGAAGACUGGAACCACCAUCAGCCAUUGGAGUGAUACAAGGAACUGGUUUCAACAUGCAUCCAGAUGGUCUCGAUAGUACCUGAAUUAUCAACAUCAAGCAUGUUCAACACAAAGAUGGAAGUCAAAAGUAAGAAAAGUAACAGAUGGCCUCGGUAGUACUUGAACUCAAGACCUUAGGCUCCGAUACCAUGUUAAGCUUCAUGCACUAGCCAACGCAACCAGAAGUCCAAACUGAUGGAAAGGACUAGGCAAUUCACAUAUACACUUCAACAGUAUUAAGCCAAUGAAUAAAAAUUCUUCUUAGACAGCUGUCUUGGCUCUUGAGUUAUAGACUAUAGUAAAAAACUUAACAAUUACUAGCGUUUAAAUUCUAGAUAUAGUUUAAGAUCAACGAUUUCUUCCCUAUGAAUGAGUUUCUAGUUUUCUCUAACUCUGGUGAACCUUGCUAUUUUGGCACGGAGGAAGUACAUCUCAUUUUCACCCUAACCAGCAGUGAAUUUCCUUUCAGUUGCAAAAUAAGAGUAGGGUGCGUUGAAGGGAAAUGCACUGCUGGUUAGUGGUGAAAAUGAGAAGUACUUCUGCCGUUGCAAAAUAUUUGAAGUUCUAAGUUUGUCCUAAGUGAAACAUCUUUAAGUUUGACAAAAUCUAUAGAAAAAUAUAUCAACAUGAACAUCUACAGCAUCAACUAUAUAUAGUAUGGAAAUAUAUUUAUGUUGAAUCUAAUGAAACUACUUGGAUGUUGUAGAUGUUGGUAUGUUUUUCUAUGGACUCAGUCAAACUUAAAGAGGUUCAACUUAGGACAAAGAACUUAAAGUGUUUUAAAACGGAGGGAGUAGAAAUAAAUUAUCAAUUGGCAUGUCGCUAAAUCUGAUCAUUACAGUGCAUGGAAUUAUUCUCUCGAACAACAGUGCAGGGAAAUUCUAAGUCAACUAAAACUCAGGGAAAUCUGCGUUUUAACUAGCAAAUUGUUUCAAUCUAAUUGCGGAAACUGAUAAUGUAUUCUAGAAGUUCUAGUUAAGUUAGAAUAGCAUGUUUGGAUAGUUCAUGCAGAGAAUUGACUAACCGGCUAUCCUAUACAUAACUGAAAUAAAGAUUGGUAAAGUGAACUUUGUAAAUAAGAUGCUGAUAAUGAAUAAGUUUACCUACUUUGAGAGGGAAAAUUGGGAUGGAUGGGAGAUGCUUAUAUAGCCUCAAUCCAAGAAACAUCUCAAACUGUUUUUGACGAGAGCUAUCAUUCAUAUAAUUGUGGAACCUUCUUUGCAGUGUAAUCUUGACAUUCUGAGCAGCAGAGAAUUUACUGAACUUUCCAGUCUCCUCCUUGAAUAUGUUUAGAAUCUCGCUGUGCAUAGCUUUUGAGCCAGUGUACAACGUGGCAUGUAUAUCACCAGCCAAAAGAAAAAUUUCAGCAAGGUGGUUCACUGGGGCAAGCAUUGUUGAGCUCUUGAACUGCUCAAAUGUCAUAUCAAAUCUCUUCCAGCGCUUUUGUGGAGCUUCCUGGCAUGGAUGCUCCCAUGAGGUAGUACGUGUAUUAUGAUCGAUAUAAAAUGAUUUACCUGUUACAGAGUCAAAGCGUUCCUCCCAUCCAGGGGGCAAAGAACGAGCACUCCGACCGUUAUACUCAGAAUUUCUGCUUGUCGAUAAGCCAAACAUAGCAUCUAUAUCAAGGGAAAUACCAAGUUGACUACACUGUUCGACAAAAACUUGAAGCGCCCCAAAAUAGCUAGCAGCAUUGGUGCGAUCAAGAGAAUCUGCACAAUUAAAACGUACCACACCAUUUUGAAUAUUAUGCAUACAGAACCCACCAUCAUCAUUGCAGAUAAUUGAUCCCUUGCAUUCGUUAAGCUGCUGUUUUACACUGUAGUAAUUCCCUUCACUGAAGCCAAUGGCCAUUGUUGGUGCUUUAAGGUGCCUCCAGAGGCCCUCAACUGUCUGUUGUUGUCCUUUUAACUUCACAGUGGCAUGCCAGUCAUAAUUUAUCAACUGAAUCCAGGUGUUUCCAAGCUUGCCAGUAGACUUCAGGUACUUCAGAGAUUCUUUGAAAUGUUCAACUAGAAUUGUCUCCGGUUUUCCUUCAGCAUAUCUUAGCAAGUUAACACACACA
rnacentral:lncRNA from 1 species